UACGAAGGGGGCUAGCGUUGCUCAGAAUCACUGGGCGUAAAGCGCACGUAGGCGGCUUGUUACGUCAGGGGUGAAAUCCUGGAGCUCAACUCCAGAACUGCCUUUGAUACUGGCAAGCUUGGAGUCCGGGAGAGGUGAGUGGAACUGCGAGUGUAGAGGUGAAAUUCGUAGAUAUUCGCAAGAACACCAGUGGCGAAGGCGGCUCACUGGCCCGGUACUGACGCUGAGGUGCGAAAGCGUGGGGAGCAAACAGG
rnacentral:rRNA from 1 species